UGGACAUGGAGGAACAACAGCCAAGAUACAGCAUAGGGCCACUGGGGUCAAUGGACAUGGAGGAACAACAGCCAAGAUACAGCAUAGGGCCACUGGGGUCAAUGGACAUGAAGGAACAACAGCCAAGACACAGCAUGGGGGCCACUGGGAUCAAUGGACAUGGAGGAACAACAGCCAAGAUACAGCAUAGGGCCACUGGGGUCAAUGGACAUGGAGGAACAACAGCCAAGAUACAGCAUAGGGCCACUGGGGUCAAUGGACAUGGAGGAACAACAGCCAAGACACAGCAUGGGGGCCACUGGGAUCAAUGGACAUGGAGGAACAACAGCCAAGAUACAGCAUAGGGCCACUGGGGUCAAUGGACAUGGAGGAACAACAGCCAAGAUACAGCAUGGGGGCCACUGGGGUCAAUGGACAUGGAGGAACACCAGCCAAGAUACAGCAUAGGGCCACUGGGGUCAAUGGACAUGGAGGAACAACAGCCAAGAUACAGCAUAGGGCCACUGGGAUCAAUGGACAUGGAGGAACAACAGCCAAGACACAGCAUAGGGGCCACUGGGGUCAAUGGACAUGGAGGAACAACAGCCAAGAUACAGCAUAGGGCCACUGGGGUCAAUGGACAUGAAGGAACAACAGCCAAGACACAGCAUGGGGGCCACUGGGAUCAAUGGACAUGGAGGAACACCAGCCAAGAUACAGCAUAGGGCCACUGGGGUCAAUGGACAUGGAGGAACAACAGCCAAGACACAGCAUAGGGGCCACUGGGAUCAAUGGACAUGGAGGAACAACAGCCAAGACACAGCAUAGGGGCCACUGGGAUCAAUGGACAUGGAGGAGCAACAAAGGGAGGGGGAUGAGUAACUGAAGACAGGCUGAGGUGCCUGCAUGGUUUUUCCUGGGCACUGCUUUUGUUAUUUGGAAAUGACCCCGGGCAAAGUAGUGUGCCUUGGUGCCUUGGCUAGGCACACAAG
rnacentral:lncRNA from 1 species